GGGGGUGAACAGGGUUCGACUUAGACAGGUCAGGUAAAAGCAGCAUGCCGCGGACGCAAGGUUGGCCGCGUAACAAUCCUUGCACAAUACAAACGCAAACACACCAGUGUUUAGUCGGCUACCAUUGUUCGCAAUGAUGCCGGCUGGCGUACCAGCCUUCGGGCUUAAUUAAGCCCGAAGCCGCUUUUCGCCUUGUCUGCGGGGCGAAAAAGCGCAGUUAGCAGACUGGCUAGGCCUGUUACCUUUGCGGGUUUAGCAAGAUAUAAAAGGUUGCGUCUUAUCUUAUCCUGUUUAGCGGAGAAGAUAAGAUUAAGAUUAAAAGAUAAACUAAGCAUGUAGCGGCUUUUAUCUGAAUGUUUAAGGACGGCGGUUCGAUUCCGCCCACCUCCACCA
rnacentral:tmRNA from 1 species